rnacentral:rRNA from 1 species
ACAUCCUGGGGCUGAAGUAGGUCCCAAGGGUAUGGCUGUUCGCCAUUUAAAGUGGUACGCGAGCUGGGUUUAGAACGUCGUGAGACAGUUCGGUCCCUAUCUGCCGUGGGCGCUGGAGAACUGAGGGGGGCUGCUCCUAGUACGAGAGGACCGGAGUGGACGCAUCACUGGUGUUCGGGUUGUCAUGCCAAUGGCACUGCCCGGUAGCUAAAUGCGGAAGAGAUAAGUGCUGAAAGCAUCUAAGCACGAAACUUGCCCCGAGAUGAGUUCUCCCUGAGACUUAAAGUCUCCUGAAGGAACGUUGAAGACGACGACGUUGAUAGGCCGGGUGUGUAAGCGCAGCGAUGCGUUGAGCUAACCGGUACUAAUGAACCGUGAGGCUUAACCUUACAACGCCGAAG